rnacentral:rRNA from 1 species
AGAGUUUGAUCCUGGCUCAGGACGAACGCUGGCGGCGUGCCUAAUACAUGCAAGUCGAACGAGAGCGACCGGUGCUUGCACUGGUCAAUCUAGUGGCGAACGGGUGAGUAACACGUGGGUAACCUGCCCAUCAGAGGGGGAUAACAUUCGGAAACGGAUGCUAAAACCGCAUAGGUCUUCGAACCGCAUGGUUUGAAGAGGAAAAGAGGCGCAAGCUUCUGCUGAUGGAUGGACCCGCGGUGCAUUAGCUAGUUGGUGAGGUAACGGCUCACCAAGGCCGUGAUGCAUAGCCGACCUGAGAGGGUGAUCGGCCACAUUGGGACUGAGACACGGCCCAAACUCCUACGGGAGGCAGCAGUAGGGAAUCUUCCGCAAUGGACGCAAGUCUGACGGAGCAACGCCGCGUGAGUGAAGAAGGUUUUCGGAUCGUAAAACUCUGUUGUUAGAGAAGAACAAGUGCUAGAGUAACUGUUAGCGCCUUGACGGUAUCUAACCAGAAAGCCACGGCUAACUACGUGCCAGCAGCCGCGGUAAUACGUAGGUGGCAAGCGUUGUCCGGAAUUAUUGGGCGUAAAGCGCGCGCAGGCGGAUUGGUCAGUCUGUCUUAAAAGUUCGGGGCUUAACCCCGUGAUGGGAUGGAAACUGCCAAUCUAGAGUAUCGGAGAGGAAAGUGGAAUUCCUAGUGUAGCGGUGAAAUGCGUAGAUAUUAGGAAGAACACCAGUGGCGAAGGCGACUUUCUGGACGAAAACUGACGCUGAGGCGCGAAAGCCAGGGGAGCGAACGGGAUUAGAUACCCCGGUAGUCCUGGCCGUAAACGAU